rnacentral:rRNA from 1 species
GACGAACGCUGGCGGCGUGCCUAAUACAUGCAAGUAGAACGCUGAAGGAGGAGCUUGCUCUUCUGGAUGAGUUGCGAACGGGUGAGUAACGCGUAGGUAACCUGCCUGGUAGCGGGGGAUAACUAUUGGAAACGAUAGCUAAUACCGCAUAACAUUGACUAUUGCAUGAUAGUCAAUUGAAAGGUGCAAAUGCACCACUACCAGAUGGACCUGCGUUGUAUUAGCUAGUUGGUGGGGUAACGGCUCACCAAGGCUACGAUACAUAGCCGACCUGAGAGGGUGAUCGGCCACACUGGGACUGAGACACGGCCCAGACUCCUACGGGAGGCAGCAGUAGGGAAUCUUCGGCAAUGGACGGAAGUCUGACCGAGCAACGCCGCGUGAGUGAAGAAGGUUUUCGGAUCGCAAAGCUCUGUUGUAAGAGAAGAACGAGUGUGAGAGUGGAAAGUUCACACUG